CUCUGAGGGCAGCAACAUCCCCAGAGUCUCUGUAAAGAACACAGACAGGGGUUAAUAAAGCUGAAAUUAGAGACCCUCUUUCUUUCCAGAACCUACUCUGACUACCCAUUGACCUCCUCUGAUGGAAAAUGCCAUUAGAUGUUCAGUUACGUUUUCGGUGUGAAACACAACUCUGUAUGCACUUAAACAGUAGCCUUAGCUGGGUGCCUAACCACAGCUGUUUUCCCUUCCUAAGGAAACCUCCAUCCUCUCAACACAGGAUGGCAGAGCCCACCUCUCUCCGGAGAACCAUAACCACUGCAUUCAUCAGAACAGAGGAAGCCACAGAGCAGCCAUGGAAUCACCUGGAAGGGAACCCUGGUCUACAGGUGUACGGUAAUGAUGGCACGGAAGAUCCCGAGUUCCUGAAGACACCUUAUGGGGGUUGAGCCCAGGGCCUCGUUCGUGCAUGCCAGAUAUUUGGGAAGAUGAGGCAGGAG